CUACGGGUCGCUGCAGUGAGGAAUAUUGCACAAUGGGGGGAACCCUGAUGCAGCAACACCGCGUGGAGGAUGACGCAUUUCGGUGUGUAAACUCCUUUCAUAUGUCAAGAAAAUGACGGUAGCAUAUGAAUAAGCACCGGCUAACUCCGUGCCAGCAGCCGCGGUAAUACGGAGGGUGCAAGCGUUACUCGGAAUCACUGGGCGUAAAGGACGCGUAGGCGGGUUGGAAAGUCAGGUGUGAAAUCCUACAGCUUAACUGUAGAACUGCACUUGAAACUUCUAAUCUAGAGUAUGGGAGGGGGAGAUGGAAUUAGUGGUGUAGGGGUAAAAUCCGUAGAUAUCACUAGGAAUACCUAAAGCGAAGGCGAUCUCCUGGAACAUUACUGACGCUAAGGCGUGAAAGCGUGGGGAGCAAACAGGAUUAGAUACCCCCGUAGUC
rnacentral:rRNA from 1 species